rnacentral:rRNA from 1 species
GAUGAACGCUGGCGGCGUGCCUAAUACAUGCAAGUCGAGCGAACGGACGAGAAGCUUGCUUCUCUGAUGUUAGCGGCGGACGGGUGAGUAACACGUGGAUAACCUACCUAUAAGACUGGGAUACCUUCGGGAAACCGGAGCUAAUACCGGAUGAUAUUUUGAACCGCAUGGUUCACAAGUGAAAGACGGUCUUGCUGUCACUUAUAGAUGGAUCCGCGCUGCAUUAGCUAGUUGGUAAGGUAACGGCUUACCAAGGCAACGAUGCAUAGCCGACCUGAGAGGGUGAUCGGCCACACUGGAACUGAGACACGGUCCAGACUCCUACGGGAGGCAGCAGUAGGGAAUCUUCCGCAAUGGGCGAAAGCCUGACGGAGCAACGCCGCGUGAGUGAUGAAGGUCUUCGGAUCGUAAAACUCUGUUAUUAGGGAAGAACAUAUGUGUAAGUAACUGUGCACAUCUUGACGGUACCUAAUCAGAAAGCCACGGCUAACUACGUG